CAUGUGAUACGUCACGUUCCGGCAGCAAGACCUAGUUCGCAAGCAGGGGGAUCCGCGAUGAGCAAAGAGGCGGCGAAAGAAGAAGAAGAGGUGGAAUUGCUGCGGUGCCAAAUCAACGAAUGGUAUCCCAAGUUCAAGACCCACACCAUCCGCACCCUCUUCCACCCCCUCCCUCAACCCUUCAUCCGUUACCUCCUCGGCCUCCAUCCCCACCGGGACGCCGCCGGCGCUGAUGACCACGAUGACGGCGACGAUGACGGCGGCGAUGACGCCUCCUCCUCCGAUGCUCCCCCCUUUCUCCUCCCCCGACCCACCUCCGGCCGCGAUCCCCUCCCCCGCCCUACCCUUGGCGUCGACCCCACCUCCCUCCUCGAUUGCUCGCAGCUCUCCGACGACGAUGAAGAAAACGAGGAGGCCGACCCCGCCCCCUCGUUUCCCGACCUGGAAGAGGCGGUCGAGCGCUCCAUUGCUUCCCUUGGCGGCGCCGCUUUCCCUAAGCUUAAUUGGAGCGCCCCCAAGGAUGCUACCUGGAUCUCCGCCGACGGAACCCUCCGCUGCUCCUCGUUCACCGACGUCGCCUUGCUCCUCCACUCCUCUGAUUCCGUCGCUCACGACCUCUCUUCCCAGCCUGCCGCUUCCGAUUCCGCUUCUUCGCCUUUCGUCUUCUACCUCGCCCUCCGAAAGUGGUACCCUUCACUCCGGCCUGAGAUGGAAUUCCGUUGUUUCGUCCGCCACCGUCGCCUGGUCGCCAUCUCCCAGCGCGAGGUCACCAACUUCUACCCUUCCCUUCUCGAUCGGUACCACCGUCUCCUGCCCCUCAUCCGAGACUUGUUCUCCGAGGUCAUUCGCCCUGGAUUUGAGUCACAAAACUACACCUUUGAUGUGUAUGUCACCAGCGAUGGCAGGGUGAAGCUGAUCGACUUCAACCCGUGGCGCGCUUUCACCUUACCACUCCUUUUUACCUGGGAGGAGUUGGAGGAAGAGGCAUUUACUUCAGAUGAUGAAGAAGAAGAAGAAAUAGGCAAAGAACAUGAACGAAAGAGGGACGUGGAGUUUAGAAUCGUGGAGAGCCAAUGUGGAGUGAGGCCAGGGUUGAAAACGGCAGUGCCUUAUGACUACUUGGAUACAGGGGAAGGCAGUGGAUGGGAUCAGUUCUUGAAGAGAGCCGAUGAGGAGCUGAGGAAGCAGACACAGAGUACUUCACGUGAUGGCGACAAAGCUUGAAGAAGAUCCAGGCGUCUCGGCUUCAUUCCUUCUUGAAGUAUAACCAGGUUUGCAUGAAUAAAGUUUCUGUUAAGUUUGAUUGGAAUAAAUUAUUCACAUUUGGUUCAAAGAACAGACCUAUUAUUCAACUAUUUUGAGAUUUGUUGCUGUAUCAGUACUGGUUGUGCAUCACACAUUCAAAGACCAAUUUCCGAUCAGGAAUCAGUACUGGAUUUUAGCUUUUAGAACAUAUUUUUGCUCUCAACCUGUUCACCCCUGGACAAUUAUAUGUAUUCUCUGUUUUGGUUAAUCUUAUAUUCAUCAUUGUUACUUC